CCUGGGUGCUCGCGUCCUCCCCGCGCGGCGGACAGCCCGGGCGCCCUUCCUCUCUGCGGGACUGCAGGUCUAUCCGCUAAGCGCGCGUGACCAAAAACGGCUCUCAGCGGGUCCCAGCUGACGGAAGGUGGGGGAGGAGUGCGAGGGUCUCUGAGACAGGUUGGGAGCCAGCCCCACCUCCAUUUCCAAAGCGGGGGUCCAGGCACAGGAACAGCCAAACGCCCGAACCAGCGGGGUUACCUUUGCCACUUCAUCCAAUCCGAGCAUCGGCUGGAAACUGGGAAGUUUGUCAGACAAAGCUCUUCAGGUUACUGGCAAUUUAUGUGCUGGGAGGUGGAUUUGUGGGCAGAGCUCCGGCUGACCUGGUGUUGUCCUGCUAUGGCUACAGACUUCUGACUAUGCUUAUCAGAAAAACUUUCAUUUGGUUCAAGGAUUUUUGCUGACAAGUUUAUUUAAUCCCUGAACCUGGAUCCAAGGCAUCUCCCUGUAGAAAACAUCAGACCGGGGCAGAGAUUGACAAAGCAACCCAAAGCAGCAGCUGCCAACGGCCGCUGUGCCCACCUCAUCAGCAGCUAAAGAGUAUAAUUUUAAAAAAAGUCACAGAAGAAUGUGGAGACACUUAGCAAAACGGACUCUCAUAAGAGUGUUCGAUGGUGCUGCUACUAAUGAAAGAUUUGAGGAAACUCCUAAGGUCCCUCCAGUGUACAACAAUUUGGUUCCCUAUUUUGUCAGUAAGGAAGUAAACAACCGCUAAAACAACCCUCUAACAACAGAAGACCCUCAUGAGAACACCAGGCAGCAGAAGCUUCUUUAGCAGUAAAAGAUAUCUGGAUAUUCAUAUUUUGUUCCAUGAUCUUCAACAUUAAAUAAAUAAACUUAAUAUUCAAGUCUCCUUCUGCAUUCCUAGAA
rnacentral:lncRNA from 1 species